rnacentral:rRNA from 1 species
GAUGAACGCUGGCGGCGUGCCUAAUACAUGCAAGUCGAGCGAACGGACGAGAAGCUUGCUUCUCUGAUGUUAGCGGCGGACGGGUGAGUAACACGUGGAUAACCUACCUAUAAGACUGGGAUAACUUCGGGAAACCGGAGCUAAUACCGGAUGAUAUUUUGAACCGCAUGGUUCAAAAGUGAAAGACGGUCUUGCUGUCACUUAUAGAUGGAUCCGCGCUGCAUUAGCUAGUUGGUAAGGUAACGGCUUACCAAGGCAACGAUGCAUAGCCGACCUGAGAGGGUGGUCGGCCACACUGGAACUGAGACACGGUCCAGACUCCUACGGGAGGCAGCAGUAGGGAAUCUUCCGCAAUGGGCGAAAGCCUGACGGAGCAACGCCGCGUGAGUGAUGAAGGUCUUCGGAUCGUAAAACUCUGUUAUUAGGGAAGAACAUAUGUGUAAGUAACUGUGCACAUCUUGACGGUACCUAAUCAGAAAGCCACGGCUAACUACGUGC